ensembl:lncRNA
GCCGGCUGGUGAGCGGGGAGGGGUCGCGUCGACCGAGGAAUCUGAAAAAUGCAGUAGAGUGCCUCGCUUGGACCAGAUGCUGGAGCCAGCAUGGGGAUGACCUGAAGCCUGCCCUUGAGGAGAGCAGAUGCGUGGUCCUGGUGCUCAUCUCCGUCACCCAACUCCUUCUCUGACUGUCGAAUGGCUUCGCAGGUCCCAACGUAGAAACACACACAGAAAGGGACCCCCUCACCUGAGCAGUUAAGCCUCUUCCCGAAGUCCCCACAGAAGAGGGGAGCUUGGUCCAGAACGAGGGGGCCUGGUUUGGCGCUCAGCAUCUCUGCCUUCAUGUUUGGUGAGCCCGGUGCUGUCCCCAGGCUGCUGGGCUGGCCUGGCCUGUCUGCCAUGUCCGCGGGAGAGUCAGAGCUGCAAUUCGAGAAAAAGGACUGUUUCGCCUUCUGUAUUGAGGAUCCACGAAGAAGGAACUGGGAGGCGGGCUACAGCAGCAGUUAGCAGCACCCACUCUGUGUUUAAAUUCUGACCACAUGACUGACCUGGGGCUAAUCGCUUCACCUCUGCGAACUUCAUCUGUAAGAGGGACUAUGCAUCCUGAUUUCACGCGAUGUCAAAAGAGAAAAUGAAAGCGUUUACUUAGCACAGAGCCGGGAACGUGGUAGGACCCAGUGAAUCAUACUGAUAAUUACUAUUAAUGCCUAAUAAACUCAAGGCUAGAUCUGAU